AGAUAAUGCUCUUUAAAUUGAAAAUUCUCUUCGGAUCUCGUUGGGAAGGAUGAACGAGUUGGAUGAGCCGAGAUGAAACACCAGAGAGUUAAAGGAAGUAUGUACGACGACAGGGAUCCAUGAAAAAUUGAUGGUGAUCGCGGUUUUGAAUUCAAAGCAUCGUUCCACGGUCAUCUCUCGCCGUUGAAGACACGUCGAGCCAUUUGACGAGAUUUAUUUGGAACCGAAGCACUAUUCUGGACUCCGAGGAGCGCCGAUGACAGAGCACGAUAACCGACGACACGUGGAGGGGGGACGAAUUUAUCGGCGUACGAGAAAAACGCGGUCGCUUGUUGGCACAACAUUAGCGAGGAAAAUUCAUCGAGGUCGCGACGAAGAGUUAUGGCGAACACGUGACACCUUCGUUGUGCCUGGACUCCUUUCAUCCAGGAUUUACCUCGGCUCGGACCUCGAAGAGAAGCCUAACCAAGUCACGACGAUGAUUUCGUCCAUUCGUCAAGUGGACCGUGAAACACGCGACAGCGGAACGGAGAAG